rnacentral:rRNA from 1 species
ACUCCUACGGGAGGCAGCAGUAGGGAAUCUUCCACAAUGGGCGCAAGCCUGAUGGAGCAACACCGCGUGAGUGAAGAAGGGUUUCGGCUCGUAAAGCUCUGUUGUUAAAGAAGAACACGUAUGAGAGUAACUGUUCAUACGUUGACGGUAUUAACCAGAAAGUCACGGCUAACUACGUGCCAGCAGCCGCGGUAAUACGUAGGGUGGCAAGCGUUAUCCGGAUUUAUUGGGCGUAAAGAGAGUGCAGGCGGUUUUCUAAGUCUGAUGUGAAAGCCUUCGGCUUAACCGGAGAAGUGCAUCGGAAACUGGAUAACUUGAGUGCAGAAGAGGUAGUGGAACUCCAUGUGUAGCGGUGGAAUGCGUAGAUAUAUGGAAGAACACCGAGUGGCGAAGGCGGCUACCUGGUCUGCAACGUGACGCUGAGACUCGAAAGCAUGGGUAG